UUCCUACGGGGGGCAGCAGUCGGGAAUAUUGCGCAAUGGAGGAAACUCUGACGCAGUGACGCCGCGUGCAGGAAGAAGGUUUUCGGAUUGUAAACUGCUUUCGACAGGGAAGAAAAAAGACAGUACCUGUAGAAUAAGCUCCGGCUAACUACGUGCCAGCAGCCGCGGUAAUACGUAGGUGGCGAGCGUUAUCCGGAAUGAUUGGGCGUAAAGGGUGCGCAGGCGGUCCUGCAAGUCUGGAGUGAAACGCAUGAGCUCAACUCAUGCAUGGCUUUGGAAACUGGAGGACUGGAGAGCAGGAGAGG
rnacentral:rRNA from 1 species